GAAGGGGGCUAGCGUUGCUCGGAAUUACUGGGCGUAAAGGGCGCGUAGGCGGGAUGGUAAGUCGGUCGUGAAAUCCCUCGGCUCAACCGAGGAACGUCGAUCGAUACUACCGUUCUUGAGGAUUGCAGAGGAGACUGGAAUUCCCGGUGUAGCGGUGAAAUGUGUAGAGAUCGGGAGGAACACCGGUGGCGAAGGCGGGUCUCUGGGCAAUUCCUGACGCUGAGGCGCGAAAGCGUGGGGAGCAAACGGGAUUAGAUACCCCGGUAGUCCACGCUGUAAACGAUGAGCACUAGGUGUGGGGGGGUUCAGUCCCUUCCGUGCCGCAGCUAACGCAUUAAGUGCUCCGCCUGGGGAGUACGGCCGCAAGGUUG
rnacentral:rRNA from 1 species